UCGGUCUCAAUCACUGCUCCUUACCCUCCCAACUACCCGGCCAGGCCGCCCCCAUCCACCUCCCAGAUCGUAGGCGGCUCAAUCGACCGUCUUCGCUUCCCUCACCUUGCGUCGGCGGUGCCCAUUGAUCAAUUUACGCCCGCCGUCUCCAAUAGCGAGCCUCCGAUCCCAUCCCGCAGCGCGUGAAGCAACGCUGGCGUCACCCAUCUCGUGCGUCUCGUCGCGUCUCCUCUGGUCUCGUUGCUGAGGAUGGAGCCCGCAGCAGCAGCAACAACAGCAGCUUGCUUGGGUCGUUUCCGCUUGCCACUUCUAGGGUGGACGGUUCGCCCGACUCGAGCCGGCGCCACCCCGAUUGCUGCCGUUGCCGACGACAGCCACCCGGACUGCGCCAUGGACUCGGCAUCCCGCCCCGCCAUCGUCAUCUACAACAGCACCGGGUACACAAAGAUGGGGUUCACGGAGAACAUGGAGCCCUGCUUCAUCACCCCCACUGUCGUCACCAUCAACGACUCUUCCAGCCAUACGACGACGAAGGGCGCUGCCAAUGGGAAUUGGCUGGCGCAGCACACUGCCGGCGUCAUGGCCGACCUCGACUUCUACAUCGAGCCGGUCCUGCCCCAGCAGCACGUACAGCCAUAGCCACCCCAUCCGCAAUGGCCAGGUGAGCAACGCUAUGUUUGAGGUGGCGGAGAGGCACCACACCGAGGUGCUGGUCUUCGGCAGCCAUGGCUACGGAGCAAUAAAAAGCAUGGAAGAAAGGAAGUUAAUAUGGAGCUGAAAAAGGAGGCUGAUUUUUUUUUUGGACAUUAUUGUUGUGCCAUUCAUGGAUAGCUAUUAUUUGGUUGUUCUGAAGACGAAUGCCAUAUGCGAGUAUGGGGAUCAUGUUGUAUCUGCUAGAUAUAUAAUGAAGUGUGAUGGUGAUACUUUUGUUAGACUUGAAUCAGUAAUUGAUGAAGUGAAGAAAAUUUGAAAUGACAAAAGUCUCUAUAUAGGAAACAUGAAGGAUCACCACAUAAGCGGCACUGAUGUCUUGAUUAGUUGAUUUCUAACACAUGUGGCUGCUGAAUUGAAGAGCAAUAAAGAAAAGGAAGACGGCAACCAUGACUUUGUGCCUACAAGUACAUAAUUAUGCAUCUCUAUGUCCAUGAUUGCAGAAUGUCUUUGCUGGAUUAAAGAGUGAUAUUGCUUCGAUAUCAGUUGUUGCCGAUGCUACUGGUGGCUUAGAUUGCUAAAUAAUGUUGAAUGCAUGGCUUAAUUGGUAGCCUGAACUACUGUCGGUUAAUCAAUGAUUUACAACUAUUGCUUCAUAUAAGUGUUUUGCUGACUAGGUGAUAUUUGCAGUAAACUACUCACACGAUGACUUAUAGUUACAUAGGUUUAUAACAGGUUAUAGUCUUCGGUAUAAGCAUCCUACUUGAUAUCCUUUCUAAAGCUG